CCCAUCAUGAUGGCUGUACUGUCAUGACCUAAUUGCCACCUAAAGACCUCAUCUCCAAAUACUGUCACAUUGGAGAUUAGGCAGAGAUUGGAGAUUAUACAAAUUGGGGGUGGUGGGGAAUGACACAAAGAAUUCAGCUUAUAGCAAUUAUUAUGUUCUUUAAAAAGUUAUAAUCAUCUGUUGAUUGGUAAAAUUGAGGCGCAUAUUAAAGCGAUACAGUCUCUAAGUUACACGUUUGUAGUUUCCAUGAUUGCCACUAUUCCCCCUUUCUGAAAAUCAGACCACUUCUCUCAUAUCUUGUCUUUCGAAGCUAAUUCCCACGAAACAAAAUUCCUCUGAGAUUUCUGUGGUUGUCAAAUAGCCCUUGAAAUUCCUUCAGUCCCAUGGAAUGGAAUUCCCAAGGUCCAGAGACUUGAACUCAUAAAAACCAUCAGCUGACCUCCUACUGAAUCUUGUUUGUUGGGAAAAUUAAAACAAACUAUGGCAGUUUUCAACUAUUUUCAACAAUCAACAUUUUCAACUAUCUAUGAGAUAUUCAGGAAUCCAUUGUUGGUAAGAGUUCGCUACUUUGCUGAAGUGUCUGGCUCUGGCCCACUCUCACUGUGGUAAAUGGCAUCCGCAUACCUAGCUAGUGACAACUCGUCUACUACCCCACAUCCCCACCUCACCUGUGUGUUCUGUGUUCUUACUCUUUAUCCCAUUACGGUGAUUAUAACCUUUCUGUCUUUAGGAAAAUGAUACUGAACAAAAAGCUAUCACCUAUGGCGAUGUAAGUAAAAAAGGCUUAAAAUUAAAAAAAAAAAAAAAUAGAUGACAUUCUUGAAUGUGGAAGUUGUGAAAGUCUGGAAUCAAAUGCCUCAAGAAUGCCAGAGCACUUUGGUGGCAUGAUGAUUUGUGGAAAUACAGAUCUGUGUUGUGCUUUCUGUAUUUUUCUCCUCCUUUCACUCCAAAAAGGUGAUUGGGUCGUUGGGUCAUUAUUUGGCUAAAACUGACGCUGUUUCAGAGUAAUUUUGCUUCUCAUCUUCUGUGAAAGGCUGAGCAUGUUAAAGAGGUGGUACUAUGAGUUCUAGAGGAAGACCAGAAAGAAGGAGAAAGAGAUUUUCCUUAGAGGGAUAAGGGUUAGAAUUUGAUGGCUUCAUGAGACCCCUUAACAAAGAGGUGGCAAGACCACAGAGGGUAUGGCUCCCAACCUUACUGCAACAGAGAGCACUAGGCUUCCAGGGGCCCUGUGGGGUGAACAGAGAGAAAAACAGAAAGAACCAGGUGGCCUAAAGAUUAGAUAGAGAUUGCUAAGUUUCAUCAGUAUCUGUUGUGCCUCUCCUUCCUGGGCACACAGGUCAAGUCUGUGUCUCUGCCAGUCCCCUCACAUCUAAGUGGGGCCAAGUGACUGAGUCUGGCUGAUGGAGUGUGGGUUGACAUAACAUAUAGCACUUUCAGGCCUGACCCUUGAAGGUGUUCUCACAAUCUCUCUAUUGCCACCUCUGGUCUGAGUGGCAGUAAGCAAAGAAUUGCAAAGCCUAGACAAUGACAGGAAGAGCCCAUGAUGGAAGGAGCCUAGAUCCUUGAGUUACUGCCCAGGGGGAGCAGCCCAGGAUGGCUUCCUGACCAAGGAGCAUCCACUCUAGACUGGGUACAAAAUAAAAUUCUUAAGACACUGUGAUCUGAAGUCUUGGUCAUAAUGACUAACUUUAAUUACACUGCCUAAUUCAGAUGUCUCACCCCUCUUUCUUAUGCAACACAUGUGCUUCCUGGAUGCUUACAUCUGCAGUAGAGGAGGAGACACAAAUGACAACUGAGAUUGAAUUUCUCACUGACUCAAUGGGACCCUGAGAGAUGCCUUUCAUUUGACUUAAAGAAAAUGCAAGACUUGGAAACAAAACAAUGGUGUAGACUAGUUUUACCUCAAUUUUCUUUCUGAAAAAGAACAGGAUUUGGGAAUCUAGCCCUCUGACCAACAAGAUUCCCCAGCACACGUCAAGCAGUAAUUCUUUCCACAAGGUUGGCAUCAGCUUCCUAAACUCCCAUUCCCAUCAUUUUAUUUUCAGGCUUUCUCUGUCUUUCAGGGUGUGCACACAUGCCUUAAAGAUUUCAGUAGGAAAGAGUUAAGUCUUUCUUUCAGGUCUUUUGCUUCUUUGGUUAAUUAGAUUGAAAUUUCAACUAGAGGCUGCUCAGCUGGGAUCUAGCUAGUGCUGUCACCUGAAAUACUGCCCACCACACACACACUUUUGACAGGAAGAGCUGCUCAAAAGCCUCUCCAUGUCUCUAUUCCAGGAAUAAUUCAGGGAAAAGGGUUGAUACCCGUGAAAGCUGAGUGCUGGGGUCCUCUCUGUCCACGCUUCAAAAGAAUAACUACCCUCAGCCUGCCUUUAUUUUGUGUUACAGCUCUUCUUUUUCAAUGAAAAGUCCUUGCUGUCUCCUCAUUAUAAAGAAUAAAGAGCUUUUCAAGUGUGAGUUGCUAAACCCAGAAGGGAACAUAGCUAUUUUUAAGAGGGUUUCAACUCUGAGCUGUUCUACCAGGCCAGCCUGCCAGCCGCGGAGGUCUUGCAGGGAGGCCGAAGGCAAUCACAGCCUCUCUUCAGGAGGGGACAUACAGGAAGGAAGCUCCUGGGCAGAAACACUCUAGCUCUCUGGCCCACAGACAGCCCUGGUGCCUUGCUACCUGGCUCCUCCAGGCAAAACCCUGCCAGGGGGUCAGGGGAGUGGCUUUAAUUCUCACCCAUUUGAGGUUUGCCUGCUGCCUUAGGUUUCUCACAUCCACUUUCUCCAAAUAGGAAGCAAUCUGCUUGAUCCUCAUCCGGGAGCACAGGGAGGAGGGGGGCUGCCUUUAUGUCCUCUCCUAUCUUCAUCAAGCCAUGUGCAACUGGCAGCCACCGUGCUUCGCUCUGUGGGAAGAGGAUAAUCAGAGCCGGAUUCCGAAUGAAAGGAGGAACAUGCAGAGCCGCCUGCCUCCUGGCCAAUAGCAAUGGAAUCCUUGUGGCCUGGCUCAGGCCAGAGCUCUUCUAAGUCAGCGUGCUUUAGGGGCAGGGCUGGGCACUCAGACUCAGAGUUAGAGCGCCUGGGUUCGAGCCUCACCUCUUACAGCCUCUGUGCCCUUAGGGUAAAAUGGGGUAAUACCACCCUCCUCUUGGGUGUUGUGGGCACGGUUAUCCACCCUUAUAUGGGUAUGGAAAGGUCUGUCAACCCUGCAGUGUCACAUGUGUGUUAAUCAUUGAUCUGAAGGCUAUGGAGAUAUGCACUCUAAUUUCUUUCAAGAGCAGAAAAUGGUGCUGCUGGAUGACAGAGAAGAUAUUGUGAACUUGAUAGAAACUAUUAAUGAUUCAGGAGAUUGAGAUUAUGUUUUCUAUCUUCCCAUUCCAUUAAGCUUUUCCACCAGAGAAAAGGGGCAGGGAUUGAAACUAUUCCAUUAUUCUAGUAGCUUUUAGGAGGAAAGAACUGGCUUACAUUCGAAAAUGGUAAGCGGGAACAAGAAUGAUCAAUUGAUUUCAUACAAAGAAUGGCUAAAGGAAAUAGAGAAACUCGUUUGGUUAUCAUACACUUUGUAUGUAAAGAGCUUACAGACAUAUACUUCAGUUAAAAAAAAAAUUUCUGAGGAAAAAUAAUAGUCAGCAAAAAUAUAGGCAAAACCGGAAUGAUUAGAUCUAAGGAAAAAAGAGUGCAUAUACAUGAAGUUGAUAAGGUUACACUGUUACAAAGAUAGAGCAACCAAUAAGACUUGAGUUUCCAGAAAGCCAAAGCAAAAAGGGAAAUAUGAUGUUACCAAGUCUAUGUCUUUCAUGAGGAACCCCCUACUGCUACCAAUUCCUUAUCCUUUUUUAUCAUAAGACUCAUAAGCAUGGAUAUUUAUCUUCAGGAAGAGAAUACUUAGGGAAUUUCAUUAUGGUCUUCUUCGUGUAUUUGAUGGGCUGCCAAGUACAAAAAGGAAGAUUGCUUUGGGUAAUUCCAGACCACAAAACUAGAAUCAAUGAGUGUAAGUUAAGGGGAACAGAUUUUGGUUAAAAAUAAAGAACUUUCUAACAAUUAGAGUUGUCCAUAAAUGGAAUGAGCUGUCUGGCAAAGAAGUGAGCUCCCUGUUACUGGAAGUGAUCAAACAGAGGCUGGCUAACCAUCUGUUAAGGAUAAAAAGGAUUUGUGCAUAAUGAGAGAAUUAUGCAACAACAUAAUACAAAAUUCUUCAUGACAGUUUUAUUUAUAAUAGUAGGAAAGAAAAUAGAAUCAAGCUGCAUGCCCAACAAGAGGGGAUUUGUUAUAUUAUUUAUGGUGCUCUCACAUGAUUUACAGAUUUUACAGAUGUUAAAAAUCAAUGAAAUAAUGAUAUAUGUUCAUAACCUAUUAUUAGGUGAAAAAUACAGGCUACUAAAACAGUAUAGAUACUGUGAUAACAUUUUGUAAAGAAAAUGUGUGUACAGAAAAAAAUAACUGUAAAGAGCACAUACACGAAAACAUUAAUAGUGAUUACCAUGAGUGUUUGAAUUAUGGGUGAUUUUCCUCUUCUAGGCUUCUUGGGGUUUUCCAAGUUUUCUACUUCAAGCACUUACCACUUAUGCAAUUGGGAGGAAAAAAGUAAAAGGAAAAAUCUCCUGAAGUGUCUCUUAUUAACUAGUAAUUUAAACUAGGUAAUCCUUAUAGUUUUUCAACCCUAAAAUUUUAGAAUUUUAAUUUUAAACUUAGGUUGAUUUUUUCUUUUUUUCUUUUUCUUUUUUGGCUUUUUUAGGGCCACACCCUUGGCAUAUGGAGGUUCUCAAGCUAGGGGUCAAAUCAGAGCUAUAACUGCUGGCCAACAGCACAGCCACAGCAAUGCCAGAUCCAAGCCAUGUGUGUGACUGCAUACACCACAGCUCACGGCAAUACUGGAUCCUUAACCCACUCAUGAGGCCAGGGAUUGAACCUGUAUCCUCAGGGAUGCUAGUCAAAAGAUUUUAAUCAAAUACAAACACCUCUCC
rnacentral:lncRNA from 1 species